UACGUAGGGUGCAAGCGUUAAUCGGAAUUACUGGGCGUAAAGCGUGCGCAGGCGGUUUUGUAAGUCUGACGUGAAAUCCCUCGGCUUAACCGGGGAACUGCGUCUGAUACUGGAUGGCUUGAGUUCGGGAGAGGGAUGCGGAAUUCCAGGUGUAGCGGUGAAAUGCGUAGAUAUCUGGAGGAACACCGGUGGCGAAGGCGGCAUCCUGGACCGACACUGACACUGAGG
rnacentral:rRNA from 1 species